GGGGGCGUAAAUGGUUUCGACGGGGAUCAUGGAUGCCUGAUAAGCGAGUCGAAGCCCCGUGCUUCGUUAAAAACGGGAAAUUUUUAAAAAUAACUGACAAUAACAGUUACAUGCCUAUCGCUGCCUAAAGGCGCGAUCGUCCGCCUUGUGUUGCCCACGACAUAAGAUACGGGCGUCAUUAAUGUGGGGAACCAACCGCAGCUUGUCUGGACUGCGGCGGGAUUUACAGACUACUGAAACCGUGACCCUUUCGGCAGGGGCUCGGCAGAGGGAAUGUUAAACUACCGAAUACACUCGUAGAAAUUCACGCAAACAGGUUUUCGGACAGGAGUUCGACUCUCCUCGCCUCCACCA
rnacentral:tmRNA from 1 species